ACAGCACUGUAAUGAUAGGCUAGC
rnacentral:piRNA from 1 species